CGCGUAGGCGGACCUGCAAGUCGAUUGUGAAAGCCCUGGGCUUAACCCGGGAAUUGCAGUCGAAACUGCUGGUCUUGAAUGCUCGAGAGGAUGGUGGAAUUCCUGGAGUAGAAGUGAAAUUCGUAGAUAUCAGGAGGAACACCGGAGGCGAAGGCGGCCAUCUGGCGAGACAUUGACGCUGAGGCGCGAAAGCGUGGGGAUCAAACAGGAUUAGAUACCCUGGUAGUCCACGCCUUAAACGAUGGAUACUCGAUGUUCGGAGAGUUAACCCUCUGAGUAUCAAAGCUAACGCAUUAAGUAUCCCGCCUGGGAAGUACGGCCGCAAGGUUGAA
rnacentral:rRNA from 1 species